rnacentral:rRNA from 1 species
GACAGAGGUGCCGAGCGUUAGGCGGAAUCACUGGGCUUAAAGCGUGUGUAGGCGGGCCGUUAAGUAUCUUGUGAAAUCCCCCGGCUCAACCGGGGAAUGGCUGGAUAUACUGGCGGUCUUGAGCAAUCUAGGGGCAGAUGGAACAGACGGUGGAGCGGUGAAAUGCGUAGAUAUCGUCUGGAACGCCAAAGGUGAAGACAGUCUGCUGGGGAUUUGCUGACGCUGAGACACGAAAGCCAGGGGAGCAAACGGG